AUUGAACGCUGGCGGCAGGCCUAACACAUGCAAGUCGAACGAGUGGCGGACGGGUGAGUAAUGUCUGGGAAACUGCCUGAUGGAGGGGGAUAACUACUGGAAACGGUAGCUAAUACCGCAUACCAUCGGAUGUGCCCAGCUGGGAUUAGCUAGUAGGUGGGGUAAAGGCUAACCUAGGCGACGAUCCCUAGCUGGUCUGAGAGGAUGACCAGCCACACUGGAACUGAGACACGGUCCAGACUCCUACGGGAGGCAGCAGUGGGGAAUAUUGCACAAGGGGCGAAAGCCUGAGGCAGCCAUGCCGCGGGUAGGAAGAAGGCCUUCGGGUUGUAAAGUACUUUCAGCGGGGAGGCGUUACCCGCAGAGGAAGCAACGGCUAACUCCGUGCCAGCAGCCGCGGUAAUUC
rnacentral:rRNA from 1 species